rnacentral:rRNA from 1 species
GUGGGGAAUAUUGGACAAUGGGGGGAACCCUGAUCCAGCCAUGCCGCGUGUGUGAAGAAGGCCUUUUGGUUGUAAAGCACUUUAAGCGAGGAGGAGGCUACCGAGAUUAAUACUCUUGGAUAGUGGACGUUACUCGCAGAAUAAGCACCGGCUAACUCUGUGCCAGCAGCCGCGGUAAUACAGAGGGUGCAAGCGUUAAUCGGAUUUACUGGGCGUAAAGCGCGCGUAGGUGGCCAAUUAAGUCAAAUGUGAAAUCCCCGAGCUUAACUUGGGAAUGUCAUUCGAUACUGGUUGGCUAGAGUAUGGGAGAGGAUGGUAGAAUUCCAGGUGUAGCGGUGAAAUACGUAGAGAUCUGGAGGAAUACCGAUGGCGAAGGCAGCCAUCUGGCCUAAUACUGACACUGAGGUGCGAAAGCAUGGGGAGCAAACAGGAUUAGAAACCCCUGUAGUCC